AACAAAUCAAUCUCAAACAAAACAAAGCUCUCCAACUGAGGAAACAUGGGAGGUUGCGCCACCUAGCCUAAGGUUUUGAAGGGUGACGAAGGGGAGAUCCCACCGCCUUCACCGUCCAAAGAGUCGGUUCCCGAAGCAAAGGAGGCUACUGCUGUU